rnacentral:rRNA from 1 species
UACGACUACAUAUCAGGCAUAUCAAUAAGCGGAGGAAAAGAAACUAACAAGGAUUCCCUUAGUAACGGCGAGUGAAGCGGGAAGAGCUCAAAUUUGAAAUCUUCAAGGUUCUACCUUGACGAAUUGUAGUUUAAAGAAGUGUUUUCUGUUAGAGGAGUAGCAAAAGUUCCUUGGAAUGGGACAUCAUAGAGGGUGAGAAUCCCGUAUUUGGUUAUUCUUUCUAGCUUUGUGAUACACUUUCAAAGAGUCGGAUCGUUUGGGAAUGCAGUCCAAGAUGGGUGGUAAAUUCAUCUAAAGCUAAAUAUUGGCGAGAGACCGAUAGCGAACAAGUACCGUGAGGGAAAGAUGAAAAGAACUUUGAAAAGAGAGUUAAACAGUACGUGAAAUUGUCAAAAGGGAAGCGUUUGACACCAGUGUUGUUUAUUCGAAAAUCAAUUCAAUAGUUUGAAUCAUGCUAGGUAGUAUUGACCUUCAUCAGCUUGCUGCUUUCUUCUCAGAAAUUAUUGAAUGCACUUUUCAGUUAACAAGUCAACAUCAAUUUCUUUUGUUGUAAAAGGGUAAGAGGAAGGUGGCUUGCGCUUCGGCUCACGUGUUUGUAGCCUUUUAUCUCUGCAAUCGGAGAGAUUGAGGUCUGCAGCGUAGAUCCUUCGGGGUUAGAUACAUUGGUGCUAAGCUAUAGCCUUGUAUAGACAACUUGUUGACUAUGCUCAGUCAUGUAGCUUACUCGCUGAUGCUAUUUUACCUACGCUUAGGAUGUUGAUCUACAGAGCGAGAGU